rnacentral:rRNA from 1 species
AUUGAACGCUGGCGGCAGGCCUAACACAUGCAAGUCGAGCGAGCGGCGGACGGGUUAGUAAUGUAUGUGCACCUGCCCGAUAGAUGGGGAUACCUACUGGAAACGGUUGCUAAUACCGCAUACUAUAGGCUGUACCCAUAUGGGAUUAGCUAGUAGGUGGGGUAAUGGCUCACCUAGGCGACGAUCACUUGUUGGUCUGAGAGGAUGACCAGGCACACGGGGACUGAGACACGGACCAGAGUCCUACGGGAGGAAGCAGUGGGGAAGAUUGCACAAUGGGGGCAAGCCUGAUGCAGCCAUGCAGCGUGUGCGAGGAAGGCAUGAGGGUUGUAAAGUACUUUCAGCGGGUAGGGGGUACCCGCAGAAGAAGCACCGGCUAACUCCGUGCCAGCAGCCGCGGUAAUAC